rnacentral:rRNA from 1 species
AUGGUUUCCUCCAAGAACGCCCGCUGCACCGCGCUUCUUUUCUUGGCCGCGCUGCUGCUCUCGUGCGCCGGCAUGGGCCGCGCGGCACGCCGCCUGGAGGAGACGGCGCCUGAGGACAGUUACCCGGCCGAGGCGCCGGAGUUGUCGCCUGAGGACGAUUACCCAGCCGAGGCGCCGGAGCCGUCGCCGGAGCACGAGCUGCUGCCUCCGUUCCCGUCGUUCCCGAAAGUCGAGCUGCCGCCCAUGCCCGAGAUGCCUACGAUUCCCGGGUUCAGCCUUCCUGGGGCCGAGCCGGACGCCGAUGAGCCAUGA